rnacentral:rRNA from 1 species
GAUGAACGCUGACAGCAUGCUUAACACAUGCAAGUCGACUGGUGGCGGAGGGGUGCGUAACGCUUAUAGAACUUACCUCGCAGGUAGGGACAAGAUUUGGAAACGAAUGCUAAUACCUAAUCCUGUGAGAGAGCUUUGCGUCCCAUUAGCUAGUUGGAGAGGUAACGGCUCACCAAGGCGAUGAUGUGUAGCCGGCCUGCGAGGGUGAUCGGCCACAAGGGGACUGAGAAGCGGCCAUUAGUCCUACGGGAGGCAGGAGUGGGGACUAGUGGACAAUGGACCAAAGUCUGAUCCAGCAAUUCGGUUUGCACGAUGAAUUUUUCGGAAGGUAAAGUGCUUUCAGUUGGGAAGCGGUACCAACAGAAGAAGUGACGGCUAAAUACGUGCCAGCAGCCGCGGUAAUUC